rnacentral:rRNA from 1 species
UACGGAGGGUGCAAGCGUUAUCCGGAAUCACUGGGUUUAAAGGGUGCGUAGGCGGUCUUAUAAGUCAGUCGUGAAAUCGUUGGGCUUAACCCAUACAAUUGCGAUUGAUACUGUUUGACUUGAAUCAGGUUGAGGUCGGCGGAAUGUGACAUGUAGCGGUGAAAUGCUUAGAUAUGUCAUAGAACACCGAUUGCGAAGGCAGCUGGCUGGGCCUGAAUUGACGCUGAGGCACGAAAGCGUGGGGAGCAAACAGG